rnacentral:tRNA from 1 species
UCCCUGGUGGCUCAGAUGGUAGAGAAUCUGCCUGUGAUGCAGGAGAUCCAGGUUUGAUCCCUGGGUUGAGAA